UACGUAGGGUGCAGGCGUUACUCGGAAUUACUGGGCGUAAAGCGUGCGCAGGCGGCUCCUUAAGUCAGAUGUGAAAGCCCCGGGCUUAACCUGGGAACUGCGUUUGAAACUGGGGAGCUGGAGUGUAGAAGAGGGGGGUGGAAUUCCAGGUGUAGCAGUGAAAUGCGUAGAUAUCUGGAGGAACACCGAUGGCGAAGGCAGCCCCCUGGGCUAACACUGACGCUCAUGCACGAAAGCGUGGGGAGCAAACAGG
rnacentral:rRNA from 1 species